rnacentral:lncRNA from 1 species
UCAGUCUCUUUUUUGAUCUCUUGAUCUGGGGGUACCAGCAUCUGGUGUAGAAAAGCACCAGCUUUUAACUUUAAGCCAUGUGGGUCGAAUUGCCAAGUUCACCGAACACCUCGUUUCCACUGCUAUCUCUUUGGCCUGCAUUAAUGUAAAAAGAGGGAGAGAGAGAUAGAAAAAGGGAAUCGACAGUGAAGGGGGGGGGGGGCAGGUAUUAUGUCUUUCUUGUUAAUAAAAAAUAGAGAUAUAUAAUGCAAUAAUAUGUUUAAUGACACUCACAUUGGUCCUAUAGGUUAUUUGCCUUUUUCAGAUUCAGAUCAGAGGUUGAAGAUAUUGUGACGCGGGACGCAAAACACCUUCUCAACAAAUGAGUCUCAAUAGAAAUUGCUGCCACCACAUGGUGAUAUAGGGACAUGACCCCUGGAUCAACUGAGGUUUCUCCAGUUGAUCCCAAUCUAAAUGGAAACUACGUCACAAUAUGAAUUGUCUUUCCUUGUGACGUAACAAUGCAAGACUGCAAGAGAGUUAAUUAUGCAUAGAAAAUGGGGGGGAAAGGAUUGCCGCUGAUUGGCUAAGAGUAAUGCGUGCCAAGUGCCAUUCAAUCAGACACCAUGCGCCCAUGUUACAAAUUAGGAGCCAUUCGUCUUAGUGUGCUCAAGAAAUCCCGACAGAAUUCACCAAGAUGUUCCUCAUGAUGCAUUCAGCUUCUUGUAGAUUAAAAAGGAACAAGUCAAGAAAUACUGGAAUCUGAUUGAGGCCACAUCAUACCGGUUAUGCUUGGUUUCUGCCCCCUUCAAGUGGUGCUGCCUUUUUAAAUGACGCACCAGAUGCUCUUCCGACUCUGAUUCAUAAUCACAUCGUCGGCACUGGUAGGUCAGGUCCGAGUCAUGGCUUUCCUGAAGAUGUCUCUUUAGCUCGGGGUAAGUUUCAUACUCGAGUGUGCAUUUUCUGCAGCGGGGCAUCUGUUUGAAAAUAUAAAAAUAUUGAAAGACAUUUAAAGAUGAGGGUUUAUUUUAUUCUUCAGUAUAACGUUUGGGAAUGUGUUUGACUCUCUCGGGAUUUCUCCUAGAUAUGGGUUGUUGAGUCCAAUCCUUCAUAGCCAGACCCUCAUAAGCCUUUAACCUAUCUAAGUGCACUACUUUAGGAAUGGUCAAAUAGAUGGAUGGUCAUUCAUUCAUCUAAACAUGGAUGGCCUCAUUCACAAUAUAUUCUUUGUCAGGGAUAUAGUUACUAUACUGUACUCACGUUUUUCAAUAAUGUCCGUGCCCGCCUGCUAUAGCAGCUCCUCCUGGCCCCCGACUCCUUCUUGUGACUCACUACAGUUUUCUGUCCACCUUUCUCCCUUUUCCUUCGUUCCUCAUUCACCUCCCUCUCUAGAGCUAGUUUCCACUGCUAUCUCUUUGGCCUGCAUUAAUGUAAAAAGUCUGCCGAGCCACCUUGCCGGUUGUCUUCUUGAUGUUUGGUUUGAGAGUUGUGCGAAUGUCACAUUUUGAAAAUCGAUUGACCUCUUCAGAAAAAAAAGACACAAUGAAAUCAACAAUUUAAGACAACUAAUACAGUAGCACUUAUCAAACCAGAAAUAUUAUUACACUUAGUCAGUCGAUGAGGAAAAAUGAAAAACAAAGUGUUCAGUAUUGUCGAGCUACCUUAUCAGUUGUUUCCAUUUUUGCCAUUACCAUCCCAUCUGCAAAGAUGAAAAAAAAAAAAAAGAAGUAUCCAAGACAAGUCCAGAAUAGACUAGAUCUAUAGGUCUACAGAAGUGUGCACAGUUGCACAUUUCUGAUUUAUCUUCUUAUUAAACUCUUGGGCGCUGAAGCAACUCUGGCCCCCUGGAGUUCUGAAACAGCGCAUGACACACUCUGAAACAGAUAAUCAGAGAGCAUCUUGUGAUCUUAUUAUGAUAAGGAUGUGCUUGCCCGGCCAAUAUGUAUUUGACCAGUCUUGCCAGGUGCAAUCGGGACAUCCAUUUCCCGCAUCUAUUUUAACUAAGUAUGAUGUAUUCGUACUUUGUAGCUCAAAGGUGUUAACGCUUUUUGCAGUUACCUUACAGCUCAAACCCUGCGCAUCUGCCCAUCGCUUCAUAACAUGCUUUACAAAAACAACAAUAAUACAGGCCUCAGAUAAUCGUACAAUAACGAAUACAU